rnacentral:rRNA from 1 species
UACAGAGGUCUCAAGCGUUGUUCGGAUUCAUUGGGCGUAAAGGGUGUGUAGGUGGCGCGCUAAGUCGGGUGUGAAAUUUCGGAGCUUAACUCCGAAACUGCGUUCGAUACUGGCGUGCUUGAGGACUGGAGAGGAGACUGGAAUUCAUGGUGUAGCAGUGAAAUGCGUAGAGAUCAUGAGGAAGACCAGUGGCGAAGGCGGGUCUCUGGACAGUUCCUGACACUGAGACACGAAGGCCAGGGGAGCAAACGGG